rnacentral:snRNA from 1 species
GUGCUCACUUCAGUAGCACAUAUACUAAAAUUGGAAGGAUACAGAGAAGAUGAGCAUGACACACAAAUUCAUGAAGCAUUCCGUAUUUUU